UGAGCUGUCAGAAGACAGCGCGCUCGACUAUUCGAGUGCUUGACAGUAUUAACGUAUGCCAUCAUUGGAAAAUUGUCCAUAUUCAAUAAGGUCAAUGUAAUAUAGUCAUAUUCUAAGUGGAAGAGGACCAUAAUUGAAACAUAUUGAUCGCUUAUGUUUUAAAGAAGUUGUACUUUACAGACGAUUCUAAGUUCAGAUUGGGGUCAUGUUGGUAUAGAAGUAUGCAAAAUAUGAAAGCAAUAUGUCAAGGGACAAUAAUUGAAGUGGUACGCAAUCUUUAACAUUCCAACGCUCGGCUCAUGCUCACACAAACGCUCAUGCUAAUGCGGACGUCGGGGAGGUAACAGAAUGCAUAAUAAAUGAAAAAGAAAUAUACAUUGUAAAUCAGCUUACCAGCAAUUAUCAAAGAAGUUCCAUCAUGGAUUGCAAGUCUGGACCGUAGAGAAUUAUGCACUGUGAAUACCUCUCCUACCUGCAAAUAAAACCUUUCACAAAGAAUCAUGUGUAUAUUGUUAAACUUAAACAGCUCAUUUUCUCAAUGUUUUUUUGGAAUAAGACCUA